rnacentral:rRNA from 1 species
GACGAACGCUGGCGGCGUGCUUAACACACGCAAGUCGAACGGAAAGGCCCUGCUUUUGUGGGGUGCUCGAGUGGCGAACGGGUGAGUAACACGUGAGUAACCUGCCCUUGACUUUGGGAUAACUUCAGGAAACUGGGGCUAAUACCGGAUAGGAGCUCCUGCUGCAUGGUGGGGGUUGGAAAGUUUCGGCGGUUGGGGAUGGACUCGCGGCUUAUCAGCUUGUUGGUGGGGUAGUGGCUUACCAAGGCUUUGACGGGUAGCCGGCCUGAGAGGGUGACCGGCGACAUUGGGACUGAGAUACGGCCCAGAGUCCUACGGGAGGCAGCAGUGGAGAAUAUUGCACAAUGGGCGGAAGCCUGAGGCGGCAACGCCGCGUGCGGGAUGACGGCCUUCGGGUUGUAAACCGCUUUCGCCUGUGACGAAGCGUGAGUGACGGUAAUGGGUAAAGAAGCACCGGCUAACUACGUG